rnacentral:rRNA from 1 species
CUUGACAUCCAGAGAAUUUAGCAGAGAUGCUUUUAGUGCCUUCGGGAACUCUGAGACAGGUGCUGCAUGGCUGUCGUCAGCUCGUGUUGUGAAAUGUUGGGUUAAGUCCGCAACGAGCGCAACCCUUAUCCUUUGUUGCCAGCACGUAAUGGUGGGAACUCAAAGGAGACUGCCGGUGAUAAACCGGAGGAAGGUGGGGAUGACGUCAAGUCAUCAUGGCCCUUACGAGUAGGGCUACACACGUGCUACAAUGGCGUAUACAAAGAGAAGCGACCUCGCGAGAGCAAGCGGACCUCAUAAAGUGCGUCGUAGUCCGGAUUGGAGUCUGCAACUCGACUCCAUGAAGUCGGAAUCGCUAGUAAUCGUAAAUCAGAAUGUUACGGUGAAUACGUUCCCGGGCCUUGUACACACCGCCCGUCACACCAUGGGAGUGGGUUGCAAAAGAAGUAGAUAGCUUAACCUUCGGGAGGGCGUUUACCACUUUGUGAUUCAUGACUGGGGUGAAGUCGUAACAAGGUAAGCGUAGUGCU